GCACUGCUGAGGAGUCCCACAAAGGGACGAAACAGCUGUCCAGUGU
rnacentral:hammerhead_ribozyme from 1 species